rnacentral:lncRNA from 1 species
UCAAUCCCCAGCCUCUCUUCCCUCCCUGGAGGGUGGGGAGUGGGACCCCAGGUUCCUAGCUUCUCAUUGCAUGGGUGGUUCCUCCGGUCUUGAAGCUAUUUAGGGGGCAUCAGUGUCAUUUCAUUAGCGUAAACCCAGAGUCUUGCUCUGUCACCAGGCUGGAGUGCAGUGGUGAGAUCUCGGCUGACUGCAACCUCUACCUCCCAGUUUCAAGCAGUUCUCCUGCCUCAGCCUCCCGAGUAGCUGGGACUACAG